GAGUUUGAUCGUGGCUCAGAUUGAACGCUGGCGGCAUGCCUUACACAUGCAAGUCGAACGGUAACGGGUCCUUCGGGAUGCCGACGAGUGGCGAACGGGUGAGUAAUAUAUCGGAACGUGCCCAGUAGUGGGGAUAACUGCUCGAAAGAGCAGCUAAUACCGCAUACGACCUGAGGGUGAAAGGGGGGGAUCGCAAGACCUCUCGCUAUUGGAGCGGCCGAUAUCAGAUUAGCUAGUUGGUGGGGUAAAGGCCUACCAAGGCAACGAUCUGUAGUUGGUCUGAGAGGACGACCAGCCACACUGGGACUGAGACACGGCCCAGACUCCUACGGGAGGCAGCAGUGGGGAAUUUUGGACAAUGGGCGCAAGCCUGAUCCAGCAAUGCCGCGUGCAGGAAGAAGGCCUCGGUUGUAACUGCUUUGUCUA
rnacentral:rRNA from 1 species